AUACGGAGGAUCCGAGCGUUAUCCGGAUUUAUUGGGUUUAAAGGGUACGUAGGCGGGAUGAUAAGUCAGCGGUGAAAUUUUGCAGCUUAACUGUAAGCUUGCCGUUGAAACUAUUAUUCUUGAGUGUAGAUAAGGUAGGCGGAAUGUGUUGUGUAGCGGUGAAAUGCUUAGAUAUAACACAGAACACCAAUUGCGAAGGCAGCUUACCGGGUUACCACUGACGCUGAGGUACGACAGCGUGGGGAUCAAACAGGAUUAGAUAUCCUGGUAGUCCACGCCGUAAACGAUGAAUACUCGCUGUUUGCGAUAUACCGCAAGCGGCCAAGCGAAAGCAUUAAGUAUUCCACCUGGGGAGUACGUUCGCAAGAAUGAAACUCAAAUGAAUUGACGGGG
rnacentral:rRNA from 1 species